CUUUGAUGAAGUUUUCGGAUGGAUUUAAAACAGCUUAGUGGCGGACGGGUGAGUAACGCGUGGGUAACCUGCCUCACACUGGGGGAUAACAGUUAGAAAUAGCUGCUAAUACCGCAUAAGCGCACGGUUCCGCAUGGAACAGUGUGAAAAACUCCGGUGGUGUGAGAUGGACCCGCGUCUGAUUAGCCAGUUGGCGGGGUAACGGCCCACCAAAGCGACGAUCAGUAGCCGGCCUGAGAGGGUGAACGGCCACAUUGGGACUGAGACACGGCCCAAACUCCUACGGGAGGCAGCAGUGGGGAAUAUUGCACAAUGGGGGAAACCCUGAUGCAGCGACGCCGCGUGAGUGAAGAAGUAUUUCGGUAUGUAAAGCUCUAUCAGCAGGGAAGAAAGUGACGGUACCUGAAUAAGAAGCCCCGGCUAACUACGUGCCAGCAGCCGCGGUAAUACGUAGGGGGCAAGCGUUAUCCGGAUUUACUGGGUGUAAAGGGAGCGUAGACGGCAAGGCAAGUCUGAAGUGAAAGCCCGGUGCUUAACGCCGGGACUGCUUUGGAAACUGUUUAGCUGGAGUGCCGGAGAGGUAAGCGGAAUUCCUAGUGUAGCGGUGAAAUGCGUAGAUAUUAGGAAGAACACCAGUGGCGAAGGCGGCUUACUGGACGGUAACUGACGUUGAGGCUCGAAAGCGUGGGGAGCAAACAGGAUUAGAUACCCUGGUAGUCCACGCCGUAAACGAUGAUUGCUAGGUGUAGGUGGGUAUGGACCCAUCGGUGCCGCAGCUAACGCAAUAAGCAAUCCACCUGGGG
rnacentral:rRNA from 1 species